UACGAAGGGGGCUAGCGUUGUUCGGAACUACUGGGCGUAAAGCGCGCGCAGGCGGCUAUCCAAGUCAGUGGUGAAAGCCCGGAGCUCAACUCCGGAACUGCCAUUGAAACUGUUUAGCUUGAGUAUGAGAGAGGUGAGUGGAAUUCCCAGUGUAGAGGUGAAAUUCGUAGAUAUUGGGAAGAACACCGGUGGCGAAGGCGGCUCACUGGCUCAUUACUGACGCUCAGGCGCGACAGCGUGGGGAUCAAACAGG
rnacentral:rRNA from 1 species